CACAGAAAAGCGGGUAACUCUCUAGGACGCCUCUAAGAUGCACCACGUGGGCGGCCGAAGUGGUGUGGCGGAAGCCGCUCAGCAGAUGGUACUCGCUACAGUCAUGUGCCACACCCUGCCCCACGCACGCGCAGAACGCGCUCGCUCCAGGGAUGAGCCGCACGCACGCGCGAGCCUGCUCGCUAAGGCUUCAGGACACCGCUGCGGCUGUCUUCAUUUGUGUCCCUGUCAGACGUGUGACUGUACAGAGUCAAUCAGUGCCCUCCCAGACGUUAGUCAGACUCUAAACCUGUCGGGUGAGUUUCCUCAGAGCCUGUCGGUAAAGCCAGCUGCACGUCAUCUCCAUGGCGCGUCAGCUGUGACAUUCACCACCGCUUGUGGCGUCAGGAUGCCUUCAUCACCUCGGGUGACUUCCUGGACGGGGCAGGGCUGCUUCACUAGAGCUGAAUUUCAGUGCAUCAGAGAGCUCUGCAUGAGGAAGCAGCAGGAGGAGGAAGCAGAUGUUUGAGCCUUGCUUUUUCUUGGCAUAUUCUUCUAUAACUAGUUAAUGUUCAUAGUUUACUUGUUUUUGAUUAAUAAGACCACCUUUGAGGGCUGGAGAUUUAGCUCAGUGGCAGCACGCCUGCCUUGCAAGCACAAGGUCCCAAGUUGGAUUCCCAAUACCACAAAAAACGGGGGAGGACCACCUUUGAGGAAGACAUGGUCACCACAUCUGUUUUCCUAGUAGCAUGAAACACAUUGGAGAGAGUAGAAGCCAUCGAGCGCCUGGUCUUUCCCAGAAGUGUAAAGGGGGCCACCAUGGGCUGACGCCAAAAAGCGCUGAGCUCAAGACUCACCACCCACGUCACAGACACUGUGGGUAACAUUAAAAUGAGGGGUAGCUACAGCUUAGUCCGCCCCUCAUAACCCACUCACUGCUGUUACAUAGAGCUUACAACGUAGUGUUCACCGAAUCUAAGACGCCACCAUUAUUCUGUGUAUUCCUAAGAGAGAAACAGCACUGUUACUGACGCAGAGAUGCAACAUGUGAAAAUGUGAGUCUGGAAAUCAGCAGAAGAUGGUUUGCCCUUCUGUGUUCUAUUGUCUCAGAUACAGAUUUAACCCUUAAAGAGUCCUGGAAGGAACAUUACAGGAUCCUUCCCUGUGUGGGGUUGAGAAAUCCUGGGCCAGUGUCUCUCUAAGGACACAGAUCUGCCUAUACACAGGAGAGAGACUUUGAAGGCUGUGUAGAGGAGCCUGAGCUUUCAACUGACCAACCUGAGUUGCAACCAGCCCUUGUGCACGAAUUAAGUUCACGAGUCAAGGGUCCACUACACUUGUAAUCCUACAGGGUGAUUCUAGUUUGACCCACGUUGUACCCACGUUGUGAUUUUGUUGUAUAAAUUACCCCUGACAAAGGGCCGCAGUGGCCACCCACUUGGGAUCCCGCCUGUCUCUCAGGAGCUUUCUCUUAAUAAAACUUCGCUACUCC
rnacentral:lncRNA from 1 species